AGAGUUUGAUCAUGGCUCAGAUUGAACGCUGGCGGCAUGCUUUACACAUGCAAGUCGAACGGUAACAGGCCGCAAGGUGCUGACGAGUGGCGAACGGGUGAGUAAUGCAUCGGAACGUGCCCAGUCGUGGGGGAUAACGCAGCGAAAGCUGCGCUAAUACCGCAUACGAUCUAUGGAUGAAAGCGGGGGACCGUAAGGCCUCGCGCGAUUGGAGCGGCCGAUGUCAGAUUAGGUAGUUGGUGGGGUAAAGGCUCACCAAGCCAACGAUCUGUAGCUGGUCUGAGAGGACGACCAGCCACACUGGGACUGAGACACGGCCCAGACUCCUACGGGAGGCAGCAGUGGGGAAUUUUGGACAAUGGGCGCAAGCCUGAUCCAGCAAUGCCGCGUGCAGGAAGAAGGCCUUCGGGUUGUAAACUGCUUUUGUACGGAACGAAACGGCUCUGGUUAAUACCUGGGGCUAAUGACGGUACCGUAAGAAUAAGCACCGGCUAACUACGUGCCAGCAGCCGCGGUAAUACGUAGGGUGCAAGCGUUAAUCGGAAUUACUGGGCGUAAAGCGUGCGCAGGCGGUUUUGUAAGACAGGCGUGAAAUCCCCGGGCUCAACCUGGGAAUGGCGCUUGUGACUGCAAAGCUGGAGUGCGGCAGAGGGAGAUGGAAUUCCGCGUGUAUCAGUGAAAUGCGUACAUAUGCGGAGGA
rnacentral:rRNA from 1 species